UGUGUGCCGGAGAUGUGGCACAAUCCACCAUCCAUUCUGAAUGGAAGUAGGGAAAAGCGGAUGUGAGUGCUAUUUUCAGCAGCUCAAGCAACAGCUCACAUGCAGAAAAGGAUUAUCUACAUGGACAAAUAUAGAGCAGGAAAGAGUGGAUUAACACAACCAUUAUAUUCUAAAUACACCACCUAAGACACAGCAAGAAUUCUAUAAAAUUACAUUUUUUAAAUCCAAAACCCAUCCUCUUUAAUCCGCCACUUAAUAUUAUCAUUUCAGUUGUCCUCAAAUACCAUUCCUGCUCAUUCCCAGUGAACAUUUUCCAGGUAAUUUUAUUCAACUGGUCAGUUCAAGCUGUUAUAGUGAAUAUUUGAUAAUACUUAAAACACGUUUCUAACUUCAUCAGGUGUUUCUGAGAUGCAGUUCUACAAUAAUCUGUAUUGGUUUGUAAAAUGGAUGAGAUGAACUAUAACAGAAAGGUCACAUUGAUUAUGGCGUAAUCAUUAAAUGUCCUGGAAUCUAACCCCUGAAAUAAAUAACAUGAUAUUAUUAUUCAUAAAUGAAAGAGCUAUUUAUUAAACAGCCAAAUAUAAAGCAUGGAUUGGAAACUUAUAUAUUUUUUUAAACUACAACAUGCAGUGAAAUAAAGUCAAGCCUAUAAUGUAUGAGUAAUGCUCAGAGAGAGAGACAGAGUUUAAUGAUCAGUGUUUCUAUUUGGAAUAGGACUUACGUAUAAAAAAGUUCUCAAUGAGAGUUGUUGACAGUUCAAGUUAAACUCUGGGGCCAUUGUACCAAAGGUUAUUAGUAGCUAGAUUGACAGUUUGAUUUGUUUAUUUGAGUGUUUAUUUUAGUGUACAAGACACUGGACAGCAACCACCCGGAUGGCUACCUGAUGUAUCAUAAUAUACAGUUCCACAAAUUCAGAAAGAAGACAUUUCAAAAAAUUUUACUUCCAUAACAUCAUAACGUUAUUUCCAACAUGUUAUUUUGUUGGAUACAGCAUUCUCUGUUUACAGUUUUUUUUUUUAACAACCGCUAACAUCCUUUUGUCCAAUCUGUAGUCACAUUUUCGAAACUCUAAACACAGUUAGCCCCACAUCGGCCUGUUCAUACCAUACCAUUAACACAAUUCAUGCUGUUUACACAGAAUAUGCAGUCAUUUAACCCAUUUCUAAAAUACUAAGUUUUUCUUUACGUACCAGCUUACCCUAUACCAAAACUAUGGAUGUUUUCUGUGUUAUUCACAAAUGCUAGCACACAACAUGUCAGAACUGAAGAUAUCAUUUUCAAAACAUUAAAUAAUGUAUAAAACCUUUACUUCUGCUACAAUAGCAGCUUAAAAUCUCUAUUGAAACAGCUGAUGAGCAUUUCUGAAUGAAUAUAUCAUUGAAACAUUGAGAAAUAGCUGAUUUAUUGUCAUUUGGGUAAAAUAGAUCAUCCACAGCUAAUUCCAAUCUCCACCAGAGACAUUGCUAUGUGUUGAGGUUCCUUCAAUUACAUACACAAUGUGUCAUGCUGUGUGCCUGCCUGCUUUGUUUAGUUUAUUCUCAGUUUUGUUAUUUUAGUCUUUUCUGUAUCUGUUAUUUAGUCUGUGUCUUGGGUUUCUGCUCUGUCUUUAGUUUUGGGUUCAGUAUUGCCGGUGUUUGUUAUUUAGUUAGUUAGUUGUUUUCCACUGCCUGUUUGAUGUCAGUCUGUUCUGCGCUUCUUGUUUCAGUUUGUUUCACUGUUUUGUUUUAGUCUCUGUUUUAGUUUGUAGUCUACCCUGUGCCUUUAGUGCUGUUCAGUCUGUUUUCUGUCUAGUUUGGUUUUGAUCCAUGUCUGCCUUAGUUCCUGUUUCUUUCUGUUAUUAUCUGGUGUUUGUUUUAUGCUUGGUUUCUGUCUGCCUGUCUGCUAAGUUCUUAUUUAUCUGCCAUGUCUGCUCUGUGUUUCUGUCUGAUCCCAGUUCACUCUGUUUUCCCUGUUGGAUGUAGUUUAUUUGGAUUAUUUGUGAUCUGUCUGCUUGUGUUGUGUGUUUUGAGUUCCAGUUAGAUUCUUGCCUUGUGUUUUGCAACCUGUUAGGUUCCCCUGCUGUCUCUCUGCCUGCCUGUGCCUCAUUAGUCUCAUCUCUGUCACCUGUGUUAUUCCCACCCUUCUUGUUAACCCUGUGUGUGUGUGUGUGUGUGUGUGUGUGUGUGUGUGUGUGUGUGUGUGUGUGUGUGCUUGCUUUUUCCCCUCAGUCUUUGUCCGGUCAUUGUAGUGGUUUGUAACUGGUAAUGCGCUGCCUUGUUCUGCCUGUUCGGUGUUUUUUGGAUUAUACCCUUUCUGGAUUUUCUUUUGGAUCGCCUUGUUUUGUUUGGACUCUGACUUAUUUGGAUUUCUUUGGACUCAGCCACUCAAGUUGUAAGUGUGCUCGCUUUUUGUUUGCCUUACAAUAAAUCUUUGAACUGUAGCAGUCAGCCUACGUGUCCUGCAUUUGGGUCCACCAACAUGUUCAAACACACAUCGUGACACAAAGCAGUAAAAAGGGGAGAUGAGUUUAUCUAAUGUGGAUACAGAACAACACAGAGGAGGAGAGAAAGAAAGAAUAAUGUCUGAACAAAGGAGAAGAAUACUUGGGCCAAGGAGAGGAAGUAUCUGAACCAGUACUGAGUCGCAGUCGAGGCCUUCGUGCAGCAGCUCCCUUUUCAAGGCAUCUUGGUUCAACAUCUCAAGCAGUCCACACAAAAAGUCUGACGUCAGCCUUACAGCCUCAUCACAUCCUCCGGUUCCACAGAGGGACAGCCAGAGGUGGAGGGUGCUGUGUGAUGUUCCCAUAUGACACACUGCUGUCUUGGUCUGAGUUUUUUUUAAGGCUUAGCCUGUCAGUUAUUUCACAUUUUACAUGAAUAUUAAUGAGACACAGCUCAGCAUCCAGCCCUUCAGCACUGCAUGCUAGCCGAACUUUACAAAAUAAAUGUCAUCAUUUGGUCACUUUAUAUUACAGAGGGCCUGGAAUUGCUUAAUUAACCUACAGAACCCACUGAAAAUGUAAAUAUUAAUUUUGUGACCGGUUCUAAAAAAUGUAUCUUUCAUUUUGAAGUUUAUUUCAUAUUAAAAUGUUUAAAUGUGAGCAGCAAAAAAACUGUGACUGACAGUGAACAGGUUAAGUCCAAAAACAUGAGAGUUCGUAAAUGAAUUGUUGUUUUGUAUUAUCUUUUAAGCUUUGGCAAUACUGUUCUUUGACAUUCAUGCCAAUAAAGCAAAAUUGAAUUGCAUUGAAUAUGGCAGAAAGAAUGGAACAAUCAACAGAUACUGUGUGGAGACGUGGAGCUGUUCAUCAGUUGAUCAUUUUGCACGCUGUUUAGGAGCCAUGGGAAUAUGAUACCUAUGCAUAUCUUGCAUUAAUGUAUCACUUGUGUUAAUGAUUAAACUCCAUGAAUGCACCUUCCUCUUCAUCCCUGACCAUGUAAAAUAUAAAAAACUCUGCUGACAUUCACUAAUUGCAGCAUUCGUUUGAUCAACAGUAAACUCUUCAGCUGAUCAUGUAAAGUAUACACGUGUCCUGCACAUGCUGGCACACACAAACCGAGCCACCAACCCAUCAGGAGGAGCUUCUGUACACAAGCUGGGCUAUUAGAUGAGUCAGAAAGUGUAAUUGUAUUUGUGUUUUUUUUAUCAUUCUCACUUCCACUGUGGUUUUCUGACACAAGCCUCUGGUGCUCAUCCUUAACUUCAUCUCAUCAGUAAACAUGAGUGCAGCACCACUCAGUGAUUCAAGUCAACACAGACCCCUAAGGGGGCUACAUGAUAGUGUUCACUGCAAGCUAACCUGGUUGGUGAGGGUGUUGAUGCCCACAGAUGGAUGCCCAUUAAUCAUAGGGUUGUGAAUUCAAUCCCCAGCUCUUCCUUCAAAUUGUGAAAGUGUCCUUCAGCAAGACACUAAGCCCCAAAGUGCUCCUGAUAAGCAAGCCAGCCUAACAUGGCAGUCUAUAUGGGGCGGCUGUGGCCUCGAGGUAGAGCGGGACAUCUAACUAAUAGAAGAUUGGUGUUUUGAUCCCUGGCUUCCCCAACCCACAUGUCAAAGUGUCCUUGGACAGGAUUCUGAACUCCAAAUUCCCAAGGCUAUGCUAUCUAUGUGUGUGAAUGAUUAGUUUCUUUCUCAUGUGCAGUUGUCACUUUGCAUGACAUCCUCCACCAUCAGCUUAUGAAUGUGUUUGUGAAUUUGGUGACUGUGACAUGGAGUAGUGUGCUUUGGACAUAGCCAAAUUUGUUUAAUGUAACAUUCCAGCUCUUGGCAGCUCUUGGUUAUGGUUAGGAAAGUCUCCCAGUGAUAGAUACCUCUGUUUUGGACUCUCUGGCCCUCUAUUCCCUCAAAGGUCAGCAAA